rnacentral:tRNA from 1 species
GCCUGGGUGGUUCAGUCGGUUAAGCAUCUGACUUCAGGCUAGGUCAUGAUCUCACAGUUUGUGGGUUCGAGCCCCACAUCGAGUG